CAAAUGUUAAACAACCCGAGAAUAGCAAUUUUUUAAGUAUGUAGUUAUGUGUAAAACUGUCCCAAAAUACACGCAAAAACGAUAUAUUAAUGUUGUGCAGAGACAAUUUCGAAGAAUAAAAAGAUUAUCUGAAUAAACUAUCCUGAGAAAAUAGUUAAUUCAUGUCCGAGCAAUAUGAGAUCAUGAUUAAGAAUUCACUUACUAGAUUUCAAAAGACAAAGUAUUUAACCAAUACAUCUACAAAAAAAAAACCUAACAGAUUAUCACAUCUAGGACAUGGAUCUAGGACAUGGACAAAACAUACAAAGAUUAUUAUUAUUUUAAGAAGAUGAAAGAAUUUGUUGUCUUCAUUCAAACAAGAUAAUCACAAAAGAACAUGCAUUUACAUAUUUUUCUUUUGGAACAUCAAUUUUAUUUAUGUUUUAAGUUUAACUAUAUUUAUUUUGGUGUAACAUCAGUUAUUUAUUCUAUUUUAUUGAAUCAAUCAGUGAAACUACUUAUACUAUUUCUCUUUGACAUAAGCAACUUCAAAAUAAAGUAAUACAAUGUUAUUUCUAAAUAUUAUCAAAUAGAUCAAAAUUGAAUUCAUUAGAGAAUAAAAUAUACGAACUGUAGCGACAUAAUACCACUAGUAGCUCUUAUAUAUAGCUGUUGCAAGCUACAUCCGCUAUCAGCCUUACCGAUGAUAAAAUGUAUCACUAAUUACAUAAACUACACAGUUAGUACUUAGUAGAAGAUAUCAUCAGUUAAUAACUUAAUAUGUGUCACAUGGUUAACAAUAUUACGGAACUAUUUAUUAUCCAAACAAUAGAUCAAACGUUGAAGUCGGUAAUCUAGUACUAAUAACAGACAUGUCCAAAUAAAAAUCCGACCUUUUCAUUUUAAUUUUAUUUAAUUUAUUUAAACUGGUUUAGACUGUUCCAAAUCGUUUACUAGGAUGCAAGGGUUGCUGCUUGUGGCUUGUGACAUGACAGUCGUGGCAAGGCUCGUCUAUGGGCACUGGGUGUUGAAUAAGUUGAUUGGGAUUUCCAUUUGUAUUGCUUUCGUUGUCAUGUUUUUCUUCCUAAUAUCAAGAUUUGUGCUAUGCUCCUCCUGUGUCUCUUUGUAUAUGACAUCUUCUGGGUUUUCUUCUCUGAGAGAUUGAAAAUAAUGUUUCCAAGGAACCUAUUGUGCGGUGUGAGUGCCUCAGAUUUCAUGAUGCUUGGUCUUGGUGACAUGAUUUGAACUCUCUUUGAUCUAAAAAGCUUCACAAAUACAUAUGGUAUGCACUUCCUGGGUACGCUAGCCUAUUGGCUUGGUGUCUGCUCUAGCUGCAGGUUUCUUGACCCACUCACCUCAGCCAGCUCUACUUUAUCUGGUACUUGUUUUUCUAACCGAAUUUUCGUUGAUUGAAACAUUUCAACCCAGUGCUUGUGUAGUAAAAGAAGUCUUCUUUUUUUGUAACAGUAAAAGAAGUCAUUGUUGUGUUUUUAUGAGCUUGAUCAGUGUGAAGAAUAUUUGAGAUUAUGAUGUUUAAA